UACGUAGGGACCGAGCGUUGUCCGGAAUCAUUGGGCGUAAAGAGCGUGUAGGCGGCCAAUUAAGUCCUGCGUGAAAUCUCGGGGCUCAACCCCGAGCGGUCGUGGGAAACUGGUUGGCUAGAGUGCGGGAGAGGAGAGUGGAAUUCCUGGUGUAGCGGUGAAAAUGCGCAGAUAUCAGGAAGAACACCCGUGGCGAAGGCGGCUCUCUGGAACGCAACUGACGCUGAGACGCGAAAAGCGUGGGGAGCAAACAGG
rnacentral:rRNA from 1 species